GCGUGAGUGAAGAAGGCCCUAGGGUUGUAAAGCUCUUUCACCCGUGAAGAUGAUGACGGUAGCGGGAGAAGAAGCCCCGGCUAACUCCGUGCCAGCAGCCGCGGUAAUACGGAGGGGGCUAGCGUUGUUCGGAAUUACUGGGCGUAAAGCGCGCGUAGGCGGUUUGUUAAGUUAGACGUGAAAUCCCGGGGCUCAACCCCGGAACUGCGUUUGAAACUGAUAGACUAGAGACCGGAAGAGGUGAGUGGAAUUCCCAGUGUAGAGGUGAAAUUCGU
rnacentral:rRNA from 1 species